rnacentral:rRNA from 1 species
UACGGAGGGGGCGAGCGUUGUCCGGAAUCACUGGGCGUAAAGGGCGCGUAGGUGGCUCACGCAAGCGUGCGGUGAAAGCCCGGGGCUCAACCCCGGGUCGGCCGUGCGGACUGCGGGGCUCGAGCACUGUAGGGGCAGAUGGAAUUCCGGGUGUAGCGGUGGAAUGCGUAGAGAUCCGGAAGAACACCGGUGGCGAAGGCGGUCUGCUGGGCAGUUGCUGACACUGAGGCGCGACAGCGUGGGGAGCAAACAGG